rnacentral:rRNA from 1 species
UACGUAGGGUGCGAGCGUGUCCGGAAUUAUUGGGCGUAAAGAGCUCGUAGGCGGUUUGUUGCGUCGGCUGUGAAAUCCCGAGGCUCAACCUCGGGUCUGCAGUCGAUACGAGCAAACUAGAGUGUUGCAGGGGAGACUGGAAUUCCUGGUGUAGCGGUGAAAUGCGCAGAUAGUCGGAAGAACACCUAUGGCGAAGGCAGCUCUCUGGGACGGUACUGACGCUGAGACGCGAAAGCGUGGGGAGCGAACAGG